rnacentral:rRNA from 1 species
AGAGUUUGAUCCUGGCUCAGGACGAACGCUGGCGGCGUGCCUAAUACAUGCAAGUAGAACGCUGAAGAGAGGAGCUUGCUCUUCUUGGAUGAGUUGCGAACGGGUGAGUAACGCGUAGGUAACCUGCCUUGUAGCGGGGGAUAACUAUUGGAAACGAUAGCUAAUACCGCAUAACAAUGGAUGACACAUGUCAUUUAUUUGAAAGGGGCAAUUGCUCCACUACAAGAUGGACCUGCGUUGUAUUAGCUAGUAGGUGAGGUAAUGGCUCACCUAGGCGACGAUACAUAGCCGACCUGAGAGGGUGAUCGGCCACACUGGGACUGAGACACGGCCCAGACUCCUACGGGAGGCAGCAGUAGGGAAUCUUCGGCAAUGGGGGCAACCCUGACCGAGCAACGCCGCGUGAGUGAAGAAGGUUUUCGGAUCGUAAAGCUCUGUUGUAAGUCAAGAACGGGUGUGAGAGUGGAAAGUUCACACUGUGACGGUAGCUUACCAGAAAGGGACGGCUAACUACGUGCCAGCAGCCGCGGUAAUACGUAGGUCCCGAGCGUUGUCCGGAUUUAUUGGGCGUAAAGCGAGCGCAGGCGGUUUGAUAAGUCUGAAGUUAAAGGCUGUGGCUCAACCAUAGUUCGCUUUGGAAACUGUCAAACUUGAGUGCAGAAGGGGAGAGUGGAAUUCCAUGUGUAGCGGUGAAAUGCGUAGAUAUAUGGAGGAACACCGGUGGCGAAAGCGGCUCUCUGGCUUGUAACUGACGCUGAGGCUCGAAAGCGUGGGGAGCGAACGGGAUUAGAUACCCUGGUAGUCCACGCCGUAAACGAUGAGUGCUAGGUGUUGGAUCCUUUCCGGGAUUCAGUGCCGCAGCUAACGCAUUAAGCACUCCGCCUGGGGAGUACGACCGCAAGGUUGAAACUCAAAGGAAU